rnacentral:lncRNA from 1 species
UAUAGCACAUUACGGGGACGAAGAAACGGCCAAGCAGACCGAUACAAAAGGACAGAACGCUAACUUCCAACUCUGAGUUGGAAGUUAGCGCUCUGUCCUUUUGUAUUGGUCUGCUUGGCCGCUUCUUCGUCCCCGUAAUGCGCUAUACCAGUUCAAACAUCUAUCGGGGCCAUCAAUGCUUACCCAACUUCUGUAUGUAAAAGGCUUCCAAAGAUUCACGAGCCGUUUGCUGAUUCCUCCUUCCAAGAAUCUUCACGUCAAUCAAAUUGUGGUUCUCAGAUGCAGGCUUUGCAGUGCUUCUAGUCCGAAUCUUGUGCUCACGUGCUGGAACCCUUAACUCUGUCAUCAUGAAACACCUCCAACAAGUUCACGAGCCAUGGCGUUUUUGCGUUUUCCCAGAAUCCGAAUCUUAUCCAGUCGCAUAGCACUGUCCCAGGAAACCACACUGCCAUGUGACUGGAUCAGAUUCAGAUUCUGGGACAAAGCAAGGACACCACGGCUCGUGAAUUGUUGGAGGUGUUUCACGUCAAAACCCGAGGGUCGUCAUGUAUUAGCGAUAUGUCAAUCGUACUGUUGCGGGCAGAAACAAGGUUUUUUUUUAAGUAGGCUUUGAUUGGGGUGUUGCGCUGUGUGAGUUGUUUGCGGUGGGCUGCACAUCUCGUGGAGUAUAGUGUAAUACAAUGUGAAUAAACAGACGAAAAUUUGUGUUCCCCUUGUCCCUCUCCCUCAAUAUUUGUUCGCACUAAACGGCCGCAAUUUUUUAUGGUCUACUCUGUAAUGUUUGUGUAGGCAGGUAACUUAUCCAUGGUCAAGUGAAUUUGGGAGUGCAAGGUUGAAAUUGAAGAACACCUAGGUUUCUGGACUCGUGAAAUACUUCAUACAUUGCCGUAACGAAGCAAUUUCAGCAAGUCUGUUGAGCUGGUAAUUGGAAAUUUUCUUAUUGAAAAACUUGGCACUUCAAGCUUGGUGCAAACCCCAGCAUGCCACCUCGGAGGUUUUCUGUGUGCACGCUAUGUAAAAUCUCAAUUGGGAUGCCACAUUGGUUCUUAUCAUUGUGCGUUAUUCUAUCAGCUAGUUUCGAGUACACAUUUGCACAUGCAUCAAAGUUUAUUGCAGGUAGCCUUAAGUACUUCUGAUCUCUAACAGUUCACUGUUCUUGUUCACUGCUUGUGUUGUAUUCAUUGGCACCACACACACAUGAAAUGCUGCACGCAACCAAAAAAAGUUAUUUAUAGCUAAACAUGAGCCGGCAUAUGUUGACAGAGAAUUAGGGAAAGUGUUUUGUGCUCUUUUCUCGCAUUGAAUUUUGUCUGAAAAAAAGUUUGUUGUUCGUUAUUUUGAUUCUUUGUGAACCUACUAGGUUGGCUAGCAUUUUUAAAUGCAGGAUUUUACUUUGAGCUUUCUUUUUGUUGGGAAAAACUAGAAUCUGCGAUUGUGCUGGCAUUUUUUUUAGGUUUGCUUGUUCGCUAUUUUAAACUUAACUAUAUUUUGUUAGCACAGUGUGCCUAUUAUUGGUAUCAGCUAAACAUUUACAUGAAUGGGUUGCCAUUUUCGGUGAUAUUUCAUGAUUCCUUUGUUAUAUUUUUCCUCCGUUUUCUCAUUUCCCCACCGCAUUUGGCCACACUUAUGUGCCCUUGCUAGUCUAAGUAAAAAUAAGUGCAGUAGCAUAGUUUAACCCCUUGCUUCAUUUUGGCUACCUGUGUCCACAGUCGAAACCUUUUACACACUAGUGCAGAAGUUGAAUGUGAUACAUUGGGCAAACUGUACAACUCUUCAUUGCAACUUUAACUGCAGUCUCAUGCCGCUCUGUGCACCCUCAGAAUUAGCUUCUUGUGUGGAAAACUUCGUCAGUACCCGGAAAUUUAACAUCAUUAAAUUAAAAUUGCCAGGCUUUUGUGCUUUUCUUGCAUUGUUACAGAUCAUAAGAAUAGUAAAUGUGGCCUUAAGGAGUCGAUACCUGUCAGGUCAUAAUUUGGUCUCGAAAUGCCACCACUGGUGACGUUGUAACAAAGAGCAAAAUUUGCUGACUCGAAGAUACGAGAGAGUGUCUUGAGGGCAGUGCUGACAGGUGGCUCGUACAACAAUCAUAACCUUUAACCGUAAUGGCUCAUACAACAAUCACACACAAAAAAAAAUUGUGCACAUGUUGCCAUUAGUCGCUGGGUUAUUCCAGUUGAAUCAUAGGGCAUUGUACACUUCAGUUUGGACGUUCUAAAGUAGUGUGGCAAUUUGGGAAAGUUGGUGUAUAUUCAUCUUGGACCACAGUGCAAACACACACUGACACAGUUAGAGGGGCCAUGACGCCCAAAUUUUGCAUAAUCUGUAAAAGCUGGCAAAAUUUGAGCACAUUUGGACUUGCACUUAAUUUAUAACUUAAUAUUUUUAUAAACAUGCGAGUGGCCUCAGAGUUAGGAAACAUGGCGUGCUUGUGAGCCGUGGCGUAACGACGUGCUUGCUGCGUGAGUGUCCGCAUCCCAGUGGUCAGCCGCGUGUGCAGUCGAGCUAUUCCAGCUUUGCCAUCGGAAUGAAACAAUUUGCAGCGGCUGAAACAAUGCCACCAUGGCGCAGCAGCCACACUGCGUGGAGUCAGGUGACACUUCAUGCAGCACGAAUUGGCAAAAUGGCACAGGGCGGGGCUUAUAGCUGAGGACUUCUUCUUGUGGACUGAAACAUUGUCUUACGGUUCAUCUUUCAUUUAUGUAUAGGCAUUGUAGACCCUCUACUAUUUUUCACUGAAAAUUGCAAAUUGUCGGGCAACCAUAUCAUGGCCACUCUAAGAGUGGACACUGACUAGCAGCUGGUUUCUUUCAUUGAAGAUAAAUGAUGUAUAUACAGAUACACAAGAAACCACAUGAUACAAAGUAUAUCAAAAGCAAGACCCAGAGAUUCCACAUGAUGACUGAGUGCCAUCUAAAAACCUAACCUCUCCCUCUAGCAGGUUGACAAGACGGCCGGUUAAUACUGAUACUGAUGUAUUGGCCAGCUGUCUGUGUACCAGUUGGAGGGGGAGAUUAGGUUUUUAGAUGGCACAUAGUCAUGAUGUGGAAUCUCUGGGUCUUCCUUUUGAUAUACUUUGCAUCACGUGCAUCUGUACUUGUGUUUCAGUACAAGAUGGGCAUCUCCAUAAUGGUACUAACAAGCACAGCAGACUAGGAGUGCACUGAGCGUGUGGAGGCUAUUUUUUGUUGGUACAUUAGCCCAUUUAUCCGUUGUGGACCUUCAUUUAACACAACAGGUCAGAAUGCCAUGUUGCAAAGUGUUUUGCACUUGUUAGUCGAAAACAUUGCAAGACUGGCAUCUUGUUCAUAAACGCAUGUAGUAAUCAUGCACACUGAUACGUGUGAACCAUUGCUGACAGAACACUACUUUGAAACCAAGGAUUGGAAUAUGCGCAGCUCUUUUCAUUGGGGCACUCGAAGAAUUAUUAAAUCAGUAUUCAGUCAGAAGUGCAAAAUUUUCUAAUCAAAUUCACUAGAUACGUAUAGAAAAGAUGCCUCGAAUAAUGUCACAUUUAUGGAGCGACAUAAAACCAGGAAAUUGCUCAGUCUCACGCUAGAGAAGUGAAUCCUAAGAUCAUGUGUACACUAAAUAGUAGACUUAUUCUAGUUGUGUUCAAAGUUUUGAAUAUUUCCGCACCCCUAAAUUUCAGCAAACAGGGGAACUCUAGUGAAGCACACAUGGUACAUGCAAGAUUAUGGCUUCUUUUUUAUGUUUUUUGCUUUCCUGUUCAUUUGCUACUGUGGGUUGCUGGUCUGAUGAAAUUUACUUGUGUGUACAAGUUUUGCAAUUGUUCUUUGGUGCCUGUUGUUAAUGCGUUGAUGUGUUCCAUUCUCAAUGCCUCUGUUUAAUAACACAUGGUCAGUAUAGUGAUGGUGUUGCUAAAUGUCAUCUCCAAUGACCUAUCAUUCUCAAACAGCCAUUUAAUGUAGAGCAUCACUUACAAAACAGGAAAUCCGAACAAGUUUCAGCAGAAGAUGAGGCUUGAAGAGAUGAACAUUCUUGAACAGGGGGUGUUCAAGAAUAAGUGCAAUGCUUGCCCUCAGCUUGAGAAUUGCAUCUGUUUGAAUGCCAAUAACUGCUGCUGUCUACAGCCCUCAGCAUCAGUGGCGUAAAUCAUAGGGGGGUCCUUCAGGCCUUUGAAGCGCAAAGUAAAGAAUCCCUGAUCAUCUACCGUUAUUUAUUUAUGUAGACGAUUUGGUGGAAGCCAUUGGCAAUGGAGUACGCAUGCAAUCGCUCGAAUAUAAUUGUGUCAUUUAAAAAAAAUCGCUGGUUCAUAUAAACACGCUUACAAAAAAGAUUCCAGGGUUAAGUCGUGGGAGGUAACAUGUUUAGAGCUGAAAUUAAGGAAAAGCUGCUAGCAUUUUCAGUUGAUGGCUUAACCCGAGUGACAUAUUUUCUAGCACUAUGGUAGAGUGUAAACCUAUGAGUUACACUUACAAACUAACUUUGCCAACUAUUGGCUGCUCAGGUCCAUGCUCGGUUUCUUUUUAAUUUAUUUGAAAAAAAUAAUUUUAAUUUUUAAAUAAUUACAAAUAAAACGUAUAUGAAAAACAAGAUAGCAAAUAAUUACAAAUAAAACGUAUAUGAAAAACAAGAUAGCUGCUAUGACAUCACGAUGUGUGUCCCCCCUUGAGAUUUUUCUGGAUUUACGCCACUGCUCGGCAUGUAUCUUGGUGGAACAUAUACACUGAGGUUUUUCUGUGCUGUAACUUUUGUCAUUGGCAGCGCUGCCUUGGUGCAGUCAGAUGUAAUUCAUGAGGGUGGGCGGUGCCAUUCACCCAGAUUUAGUGUGUCAUAACCCUAACUGCACUUCAAUGUUUCUUAAAGGAACACUAAUGUGAGAAAUAUGUCAAGCUGUGUUACCUUGCUAGUAUGAUACCAAAAAAAAAAAUGAGGGGAGACUUUAUAAGCUAGGCGCACCAGUUUCUGCACGGGCUCGCCAUGUAUUUUGACAGUUUGUUCUGUAGACCAAGCUGUCCGUAAAGAUAAGGGAAGGCCGAACAAAUAGUCACGAGUUUCUUUUUCUUUUUUUUUCAACCUGUAUGGAAUUAGCUCUCGAUUAUAUUUUCUAGUAAUCAGCCCUUUUUAGAAAUGAUCGAAAGCAGUUUUGAGAGAAAACUUCAUCCAUGGUGUUUCUCCCGAGUUUAAAUGGUUUGUCAGCUGAUGUAAUAGCUUUCUUGUAUUUACCUGUGCCGCGCAUUCAGAAAGAAAAAAAAUUUGAAGCCCUCCAAAGAAAACUCAUAUUUCAGUGUGUGAACUGAUGAAAACUAACUUGUACAGCUAUUAAAACACGGAGGUGCACUUGGAUGCACUUUGGUUGAAGCUGUCAAAUUGAUGGGGCUUCGAGAAUUUCAACUCGUGGAAAGCACAUGCCAUGUAGGCACCAAUAUGCUAGUUGUCCUUGCCACUUGACUGUGUGCUUGGGUUUGAGGAAACCCUUGAGAGGACACUUGUUCUAGUGAAUUUUAGGGGAGGUCUUUAGAAAGCCGUUCUUGCCCUCCCUCCAUCCUGAUCUCACUCCUUAACCAGCUUAGGAUUAGUGACACCCAUCGCAGCAGUCAUGUUGAAGCUUACGCAUUAGCUGUUAUCAAAAUGCAGGUUUAAAUGAGGAGAAUUGAUGACAAACACCAACCAUGAAAAAGCCGAUUCAAAAUGACAUUAAGACGCAACAAUGCUUAGGUACGUUGAUUCUGUUACAUUAUGAACAAGGCUCCCAUUUGAAAGCCGAUACACUGCCUUACUAAAUAUUUUGUGGUUGGUAUUGGUCAUCAUCUUUCAUCAAAACAAGAUAACUGGAUUUUUAUAUGUAUGUAGGUGGGUUUCUGCGUAAAAAAGUGUUGCACGAUAAUGUUGUUUCCAUUCCGUAUUUUGCCAUAGCAACUGCAAGUUGAGCAGCCAAGUAGCUUUUUAAAAGUUGAGUUGUGUAGCCUCGUUUCCAAGAGCCUUAUUGGCUUUGUAUAUUCAGCUGUAAUUUUGCAUGAAAGUUGCAUGCAGCCUUGCUUUGCUUGUUGUAGCAUACCUAUUUCAGUUGAGAAACCUUUGACGAACACUGCAGCAGCCAGCAGUGUUUUGUGGGUUGUUGUGUCCUUGACCUUCAUCCAUCAAUAUGUUUCGUUUUAAUGUGUGUGUGUGUUUUAAAAGUCGCUUGAUGUUGACUUUGUUUAUAUCAAUAUGUGUUCACUAUGUCACAUCUGCAUCCUUUUAGCUUCUUCCAUUGUUCUAACAUUACGACUUUUGUCAUUGUGAAACGUGCAUUUGACCUAUAAGUGCUAAGGACACCUAUUUGAAGGGUUGGUAGCAGCUAUGCUUGAAAAUUUCUUAGCAUCAAGUGCUUGUAUCUUGUGAAGUAACUUAAUCAAAAGUAGGGUAUUACUCGGAGUUGUCAUACACAGACAGCAGGUAUCUAGCAGGUGACAGUAAGUGCAAAGAUCCUUUCUUUAUGCUGAAGCAGUGCUGAGUGGGUUAUGUGACGUGUAUAGAAGCUUCAGUCAAAUUCUGGUUGGUUGCAUCACCACUUGACCUACCAGGUCAGGAGCAUUCCUUGGCACAACAUGCUUUGAAUAAGGUCAACCUGGUGCCUUUCUAUGUUGUUUUUUUCUUUAAGUGUCCAUUUACUACUGAAUCAUUUUGGCACCACCAAACAUACUGUGUUAUGCUGUCAUUGCUGUUCUUUUCCUCGGUGGCCGUGUUCACGGAUUGCCCAUGAGUACAUUUGUUUGUGUAGAUGCUACUGCAUGCUUCCAAUAGACACAGAUUUUGUGACAAAUAAAGAUUUACUUUGAACAGUAC